GUAAUUAAUUAGAUAAAAAAAUGUAAACAAUUGACAGCCCUAGUAGAAAUACUCCAAACUCGAUAGUCUUCAGGGACUAAGAUGUAUAAUAAUACAAAAGCAGGACGUCCUAUCAGAAGCCAACAUCUCAGAGAAUUGGUAAUCUUUGCAUUACAGCUGCACUCAUCACAGAGCUUGAUGAAGCACCUCAGUGGGUGAUGGAUGGGCUUCUGUGUUCAGUUUCCCGCGGGAUCGCUGUCUUGGAUGGUGAUGUUGAGUGGUGUCCCUCCACAUCUAUAGGAACAAAUCAUGGCGUCAGGUGGUGUGGCGCUCUCACUCACCCUUGCUCAGCUGAGUCACUCUUACCAUAGCGAAUACCUGCUUUAUAUCUCUCACUGACAGUGAAGAUCAAUAGUGAUGCCUCGCUCGGUGGGUGACGGUUGGGGUCCAAUUCAGCUUCUCGUGGGAGACUAACGCCUCCUGUGCUGUGGUGCAUGAGAAAUAACAACAACAGCAAUAAUAAUACAUUUGCAAAUAAGCUGUGAUGCAGUGACUACCAAUGGGAGAAAAGAAAGUGGUCGGCCACCUGAUACAGCUGGAUAUGGAAGAAGACAAAUAAUAAGAACCAUAAAAGAAUAAGAAUAACAGAAAAAACUAAAAUAAAAAUGUAUAAUUUAAUAGUAAUAGUAAAUAGUAGGCCUUCAUGUAUAAUUAUCAAUUGUGUAAUAAUAAAAUAAGUUUUAUAAUUAUAUGUAUAAUAACUACAAAUAAUUGACUUUUUCAAAAUAAAAAUAAAAAUAGUACAGGAGAUCGCUGGAGACUAGAAGGUGAGUACACAGGAGAUCGCUGGAGACUAGAAGGUGAGUACAGGAGAUCGCUGGAGACUAGAAGGUGAGUACACAGGAGAUCGCUGGAGACUAGAAGGUGAGUACACAGGAAAUCGCUGGAGACUAGAAGGUGAGUACAGGAGAUCGCUGGAGACUAGAAGGUGAGUACACAGGGGAUCGCUGGAGACUAGAAGGUGAGUACAGGAGAUCGCUGGAGACUAGAGGGUGAGUACAGGAGAUCGCUGGAGACUAGAAGGUGAGUACACAGGAAAUCGCUGGAGACUAGAGGGUGAGUACAGGAGAUCGCUGGAGACUAGAAGGUGAGUACACAGGAGAUCGCUGGAGACUAGAAGGUGAGUACAGGAGAUCGCUGGAGACUAGAAGGUGAGUACACAGGAGAUCGCUGGAGACUAGAAGGUGAGUACACAGGAGAUCGCUGGAGACUAGAGGGUGAGUACAGGAGAUCGCUGGAGACUAGAAGGUGAAUACACAGGAAAUCGCUGGAGACUAGAGGGUGAGUACAGGAGAUCGCUGGAGACUAGAAGGUGAGUACACAGCGGAUCGCUGGAGACUAGAAGGUGAGUACAGGAGAUCGCUGGAGACUAGAAGGUGAGUACACAGAGGAGACUAGAAGGAGAGUACAGGAGAUCGCUGGAGACACAGAGGUGAGUAUAGAUCACUGGAGACUUAAAAUGGAACAGGUAAGACUUUGAUGAAGGAAAAUCACUUAAGGAUCCUUUACAGGCACAAGGAGUGGUCUAAGAGUCCAUAAGGGUGACCAGGCAAUGGGUGCUUCUCAAAUGGAAGGGCACUUCAUUAUAAGGCUGUAUAUCCAAGCUGCCACAUUAUCAAGCUCCAUCUAAGGAUGUCUCGAUGUUAAGGAUCCUUAGUAGGCAGUCUAAUUUACAAUGGAAGCCUGUGUGGGGCAAGACUUUGCAUUGGAAUAAACAUUUCAAAACCAUAAAACGUAUACAUUAUACAUGUUAACAUAAACUUUAUGAUAAAAUGGUUACUAACCAUAUAAGCAACGUUAUAUUCAUUUUUAACUGCUGUGAUGACAAUGUAAAUCCAGUAAUUUUCGCAUGACACACGUGGAUACUAGAAACGGAAUGUGUGUUAACAGAGCACACUUGGUAAUACUUUAUUUUACAGUGUCAUUUUUACAUGUUAUGUGCAAUUACUAUAGUAUAAUAACAGUAAAUAAUGCAUAACGCCUUGCAACUAAGUCUAAAUCAAAGCCCUAAUCCUUUAGUAAGUACAUGUUGUUAAUUAAAUAUUCCUCAGUGUACUUAAAUGUAAAAAAAGAAAUAAAAAAGAAUCAAUAAAAUAGUUUUAACCAAACUAUGCACUUUUAAAUCUUCUGUAAUCGUGUACUUCAUAGUUGUCUUUCGUAAACUGAUUUCUGUAAACACAUUCUUGUGGAAUUAACGUCUUUAUUAUUUGUCUGCUCUCUUAACAGGGACCUAAGCAGUGCUGAGAUUCUCCAGGAUCAGUACAGUCUGCUUGGAAGACAAACAGCAGUAUACUGGUAAAGUAAUAUGGCUCACCCUAAAAUGAUAACUGUUUUAACACUAUAUGUAAAGAUACUCUGAAAAUGGAUAUGAUGUGUUGUUGUUGGUGUGUGUUCAGCCUUGGACGCUGGACAGCUCCAUCGGCGAUGAGAACAGACAUGCCACUGAGAACUUGCUGCUGGAGGAACAGUAUCCUUCACUCUUUACACUCCAUUAAAAAUCUUACCGACCCCAAACUUUUGAGUGGGAGUGUUAGUGUGUGUGUGUGAGUGUGUGUGUGUGUGUAUGUGUAUAGUGCAGUAAUUAAUUUCAGAAUGUCUCUGUAGGACAUUGGUGUUCUGAAGCAGAAAAUCUGUGGGUUGAAGAAGACAAGGAUUUUAAAUUAAAUUAAACUGAAUUAAAUUGUAUUUUGUUUGUUAUGUUUUGUAGGCGCAGUUUGGCCGCAGGUGGACAAAGAUUGCCAAACUAAUCGGCACUAGGACAGUUCUACAGGCGAAGAGCUAUGCUAGGCAGUGCUUCAAAAAUAAGGUAUGACUUUAGACCAUUUCCACAUCACUAUAUGAAUAUCUAUACGCUUUUGGUUCAGAUGUGUGGUGCUUUAAACUGAAUUCAUAUAUAAGAGAAUAAUUAUAAAUAUAGACAUCAAAGGGGGUAUUUUUAAAAUCCUCAAAAAAAUAGCGUCCUAUAAAAGCAUUCUGAAGGUGUUCACUAACAAUAACAAUGUCAGUAACACCCGAUGUACUUGUUACAUCGUAAGAAGAAUGGCAUCUACGCUAAUAUCAGUCUGUCUCAUUCGUAUUCUGAGGUCACUAUAGCCACCCAGAUCCAGUCUGUAUCCAGAUCAGAUGGUCACUGCAGUGGCCCGGAUCCAGUCCAGAUGGUGGAUCAGCACCUAGAGACGACCAGGACAACCCUGAAUGUCAGAAGAGAUCAUGUCAACUAGAAGAGUCCCAAAGACAGAUCCCCAGCGAAAGACCUCGUCAACUAUAGGGCCACUGGCACAAAACCUCAGCAAAGACCAUGAUGAACCACAUCAUAUUCGUCAGUGGAGAAUUGCUCCUCCCCACAGAUUGAGUCUGGUUACUACCAAGGUUUUUUCUCCAUUUCGUAUUGCCUUUGGCUUGCUUAGGUGGGGACACUGCAUUUUUGGGGUUAUUAACGACUUGAUUUCACAGACAAUAUAUGAAGAGAACUGAACUGAGCUGGAUGAUGAUGACAUCAAUGAGUCAACGAUGAACUGACUUUUACUGAAAUAUUGCCUGUUUAUUUUUUUACUUUUUAGAGCUGCUUUACAGCAUAACUGAAUUUUGUUUGCAUUAUCUACACUAUUUUCCUGUUUAACAAUGUAAAGCUGCUAUUACACAAUCUGUUUUGUAUAAAGC
ensembl:lncRNA